UACAGAGGUGGCAAGCGUUGUUCGGAAUUACUGGGCGUAAAGGGCGCGUAGGCGGCCGCCUAAGUCGGACGUGAAAUCCCCAAGCUUAACUUGGGAACUGCGUCCGAUACUGGGUGACUUGAGUUCGGGAGAGGGAAGUGGAAUUUCAGGUGUAGCGGUGAAAUGCGUAGAUAUCUGAAGGAACAUCAGUGGCGAAAGCGACUUCCUGGACCAAUACUGACGCUCAUGUGCGAAAGCGUGGGGAGCAAACAGG
rnacentral:rRNA from 1 species